CAAGAACCAGAUUAAAACCUCCACAAAUGGCAUAAACAAAGAAACCCAGAUCAAAUCUGAUCAAGAAUCACACUUGGAUUAAAACCCAGAAGAGUAAAAGCUCAUAUACCCAUGAAAGAAGCAAGCUUUUUAUCCAAAAAGCAAAGCUUUGUAUCCAAAAAGCAAAGCUUUGUAUUGAAGUUGCAGUAAAAAAGAACCAAAGUUCUUGGUGAUGGGAACCCAAAGGGCAGUGACAGAUUAGAAAUCUGGAUAGACAGAGAGAGGAAGAAGAAGAAGAAGACAGCUC
rnacentral:lncRNA from 1 species